rnacentral:rRNA from 1 species
UACGGAGGGUGCAAGCGUUAUCCGGAUUCACUGGGUUUAAAGGGUGCGUAGGUGGGUUUGUAAGUCAGUGGUGAAAUCUCCAAGCUUAACUUGGAAACUGCCGUUGAUACUAUAAAUCUUGAAUAUUGUGGAGGUGAGCGGAAUAUGUCAUGUAGCGGUGAAAUGCUUAGAUAUGACAUAGAACACCAAUUGCGAAGGCAGCUCACUACACAAAGAUUGACACUGAGGCACGAAAGCGUGGGGAUCAAACAGG